rnacentral:rRNA from 1 species
UACGUAGGGUGCAAGCGUUAUCCGGAAUUAUUGGGCGUAAAGAGCUCGUAGGCGGUUUGUCGCGUCUGCUGUGAAAACUGGGGGCUCAACCCCCAGCCUGCAGUGGGUACGGGCAGACUAGAGUGCGGUAGGGGAGAUUGGAAUUCCUGGUGUAGCGGUGGAAUGCGCAGAUAUCAGGAGGAACACCGAUGGCGAAGGCAGAUCUCUGGGCCGUAACUGACGCUGAGGAGCGAAGGCGUGGGGAGCGAUCCGG